rnacentral:tRNA from 1 species
AGGGGUUUCUGGCUUCUCCCGUUUUUUCCCCUCAGACGGGAGAAC